ACCUGUAUGGUGAUCAGCACCAGAGAGGAGAGACACCUGGUCCAACAAGGUGACGGACGAGCCGCCACAGGACCUGAAGCAGGAAAACUGAGGAUCCGUCUCCUGAUGAAACUCCUUCAGGUGCUGCAGGAAAACGGGACCUGAAAUCAAUCCAAAAGGCCUUUUAGUCAGGAUAGUGGAACAGCUCUGACCUGUGUGGUGAUCAGCACCGGAGAGGAGAGACACCUGGUCCAACAAGGUGACGGACGAGCCGCCACAGGACCUGAAGCAGGAAAACUGAGGAUCUGUCUCCUGAUGAAACUCCUUCAGGUGCUGCAGGAAAACGGGACCUGAAAUCAAUCCAAAAGGCCUUUUAGUCAGGAUAGUGGAACAGCUCUGACCUGUGUGGUGAUCAGCACCGGAGAGGAGAGACACCUGGUCCAACAAGGUGACGGACGAGCCGCCACAGGACCUGAAGCAGGAAAACUGAGGAUCUGUCUCCUGAUGAAACUCCUUCAGGUGCUGCAGGAAAACGGGACCUGAAAUCAAUCCAAAAGGCCUUUUAGUCAGGAUAGUGGAACAGCUCUGACCUGUGUGGUGAUCAGCACCGGAGAGGAGAGACACCUGGUCCAACAAGGUGACGGACGAGCCGCCACAGGACCUGAAGCAGGAAAACUGAGGAUCUGUCUCCUGAUGAAACUCCUUCAGGUGCUGCAGGUGUGUGUUGACUCUGGUUCCACCUGCUCAGACAGUCAGCACUGUUGUCUUUGCUGGUUAUUUACAUAAUAAAACCUUUUUUUUGAAUUACA